AUUGAACGCUGGCGGCAUGCCUAACACAUGCAAGUCGAACGGUAACGCAGAGAGCUUGCUCUUUGGCGACGAGUGGCAGACGGGUGAGUAACGCGUGGGUGACCUACCUUCGAGUCGGGGGACAACCCCUGGAAACCGGGGGCUAAUACCGCAUAACAUCCCGCUCUUGAACGAGCGGUGAUCAAAGCUGGGGAUCGCAAGACCUGGCGCUUGUUGAGGGGCCCGCGUCCGAUUAGCUUGUUGGUGGGGUAAUGGCUCACCAAGGCUCCGAUCGGUAGCCGGCCUGAGAGGGCGGACGGCCACACUGGGACUGAGACACGGCCCAGACUCUUACGGGAGGCAGCAGUAAGGAAUUGUUCGCAAUGGGCGAAAGCCUGACGACGCAACGCCGCGUGGAGGACGAAGAUCUUCGGGUCGUAAACUCCUGUCGAGCGGGACGAACAUCAUACGGGUUAAUACCCCGUGUGCCUGACGGUACCGCUAAAGGAAGCCCCGGCUAACUCCGUG
rnacentral:rRNA from 1 species